AAUCCCUUAUCGAGGAUCAAUUGGAGGGCAAGUCUGGUGCCAGCAGCCGCGGUAAUUCCAGCUCCAAUAGCGUAUAUUAAAGUUGUUGCAGUUAAAAAGCUCGUAGUUGGAUUUCUGUUUUGAGCGUCCGGCCCGCUCUUUGAGUGUGUUGCUAGGAUGUUUGAGACAUUUUUUGUGAGGAUGUCCUUCUGCCAUUAAGUUGGUGGUUGGAUAGACUUGCAUCGUUUACUGUGAAAAAAUUAGAGUGUUUAAAGCAGGCGUUUGCUCAUUGAAUACAUUAGCAUGGAAUAAUAAGAUACGACCUUGGUGGUCUAUUUUGUUGGUUUGCACACCAGGGUAAUGAUUAAUAGGGACAGUUGGGGGUAUUCAUAUUCCAGCGUCAGAGGUGAAAUUCUUGGAUCGCUGGAAGAUGAGCUUAGGCGAAAGCAUUUACCAAGGAUGUUUUCAUUAAUCAAGAACGAAAGUUAGGGGAUCGAAGAUGAUUAGAUACCAUCGUAGUCUUAAC
rnacentral:rRNA from 1 species